AUUGAACGCUGGCGGCAGGCUUAACACAUGCAAGUCGAGCGGGGUGAUGGUGCUUGCACUAUCACUUAGCGGCGGACGGGUGAGUAAUGCUUAGGAAUCUGCCUAUUAGUGGGGGACAACAUCUCGAAAGGGAUGCUAAUACCGCAUACGUCCUACGGGAGAAAGCAGGGGAUCACUUGUGACCUUGCGCUAAUAGAUGAGCCUAAGUCGGAUUAGCUAGUUGGUGGGGUAAAGGCCUACCAAGGCGACGAUCAGUAGCGGGUCUGAGAGGAUGAUCCGCCACACUGGGACUGAGACACGGCCCAGACUCCUACGGGAGGCAGCAGUGGGGAAGAUUGGACAAUGGGGGGAACCCUGAUCCAGCCAUGCCGCGUGUGUGAAGAAGGCCUUAUGGUUGUAAAGCACUUUAAGCGAGGAGGAGGCUCUUUUGGUUAAUACCCAAGAUGAGUGGACGUUACUCGCAGAAUAAGCACCGGCUAACUCUGUGCCAGCCGCCGCAGUAA
rnacentral:rRNA from 1 species